rnacentral:rRNA from 1 species
GACGUAGGGCGCGAGCGUUGUCCGGAUUUAUUGGGCGUAAAGAGCUCGUAGGCGGCUUGUUGCGUCAGCUGUGAAAAACCCGCAGCUCAACUGUGGGCUUGCAGCUGAUACGGGCAGGCUUGAGUUCGGUAGGGGAGACUGGAAUUCCUGGUGUAGCGGUGAAAUUCGUAGAUAUCAGGAGGAACACCGAUGGCGAAGGCAAGGUCUCUGGGCUGACACUGACGCUCAUGCACGAAAGCGUGGGGAGCGAACAGG